ACCCUAAAAAAAACACCCCCUCUACUAGCCACAAGUCUGUCUUAAAAACUGCAUGAAUCCAGUCUUCAAAAUCAGUCCAAAAUGAGAUAUAAUCAAUCUCAGAGGAUCGACAAACCCGAAUAGAAGCUUCUUAAGGUCCGAUCAGAAAGAAAGCCAGCAAUGAUACCUGGUGUGGAUCUUGCGAUGGCAACAGCAGAAUGCAGCUUCGUCAAGGAGGAGAGAAGCUUGAGCUUCUCUGCUACCGUUGUAAGGAGGAAGCACAGCAAAAGUAUAGUGACUAAGCUGGUGACGAAUCAGAUAACAAUUACCAGUGACCUGAUUUCGUGACCAAUCUGAGAUUACGACGGCAAAAACAAGCUAAAAUGGUUUUGUAUGCGUCAGGGAAGAGAUACGGCAGCAGGGCAGUAAUAAACAGCAUCCAAAUUGGGACUUCGGAAAUGGGUUUCGUAACAAAUAAUCUUGCCGUGGCCGGAAAAAUGGAUGAGGAGGUGUUUGGGUUCUGUAAUGAUCGGAGAUUAAGGGAGAAAAGGAAAUGGGACUUGGGUCUCUUGAGAUAGAUGAAAGAUAGCUAAUGUGUGGUUCUCUAGCGAUGGAUUUUACAGGAGACGAUCUCACCGUUGGUGAAAAAACUGGCCGGCGAAAGAGAAGAAUCAGCUGGAUCUACGAUCUAAUGUAGGGUUUCAGGUGGAGAGGAUGGGAGGAGAGGAAAGGUCUCUCUUGGACGUCGGCUGCUGUUGUGGC
rnacentral:misc_RNA from 1 species